GAUUGCUCAAUGCUUACACCUGUAAUUGCUCCUCUGCUCUCUUUCUUCUUGUACGUCUCUAGUGCUGCUCCCCUGUAUGGUUUCUGAUGCCAGUACGCUCACUGCCCACAACCUGGUCUGUGACAGGAAUCUGACUACAAUGACAUUUAAAAUGGUCAGAGUGAGGAAGCCAAGGUUUGCACCUGAUCUCUUCUGGGAGUGAACGGCAGUUUUGUGGAGAUGGUGUUUCUCUUCUCCCUCAUCUGUGAAUGCAAGGGGACUCUGCAUCCAAUGGCAGGAAAUAGCUGCUCAGCAGUAGGGGAAUAGUGUGUACAUAGUUAUGUAGCUGAAAGGAGAUCAUAUCAGUCUGUUUUCCUUGUACUGAACCUUUGCACGCAAAGGAGUAUUCCCUGCUUCCCUGCUACCAGCUUGUAUUUCAGUUCAGAUAUAGAAUGUUAAGCAUCACUGUGUUCUUCCAUGGUGACUUUAUAUUUGUUCUUCCUUGGUUUCUUUCCUUAAUCUGAAAUAAAAUCAUCUAGAUAGAGAGAUGCGUAUUUUUCUCUUUGUAUACUGUCAAACAUAGCAGGGUGAAUUAUAAAUUCUCCAUCUACUGAACAAGACUUUAGUAUGAAUGGAAAUCACUGAACCGGAUUGGGUCUUUUUAUUUGUUUUGUUGAAGGGAAUUGCAUCAUACCCGCAUUCCCGAUAAGUAGAUUUAACACUAUGUGAAAUAUUAUAUAUGAGAGGCUAAGAAAUUUUGCCUGGCAGCUGUAUACCUCUGUGUCAACUACUUCCUUGUAAAUAGCUGUGAAAAUUCUUUGAUAUGUUGCUAUCUAUAAACAAGAUAAAAAUAUCGUCUGUUUAGCCCUUUCCCCAUUUGGCCAUGCAAGUGUUACUAUUAUAGUCUCUCUCUGUUUAAACAAAAAAUAAAAUUAUAUUGAAAGG